UACGAAGGGGGCGAGCGUUGCUCGGAUUUACUGGGCGUAAAGGGCGCGCAGGCGGCCAUUCAAGUCAGGCGUGAAAGCCCCGGGCUUAACCUGGGAGGUGCGUCUGGGACUGGGUGGCUGGAGAUCGGGAGAGGAGAGUGGAAUUCCCAGUGUAGAGGUGAAAUUCGUAGAUAUUGGGAAGAACACCAGUGGCGAAGGCGGCUCUCUGGACCGAUACUGACGCUGAGGCGCGAAAGCGUGGGGAGCGAACAGG
rnacentral:rRNA from 1 species